CUCUCGGUCAUAGUUCAGAGAUUGCUGGACGGUCGAGAUUGAAGGAGAGCGGACGGUCAAGCGCAGCAGAAACCACUGAUCCAGUCCAUCUGAACGCCAGAAAGCAGCAAAACCACGUCAUUAAGGUUAGUGUCUUGGUCCCCAAAAUUAUCUACCGAAACAACUACUAUAUGGCAUCGGUUCUCUAAGCAACCGAGAUCAUAAACCUCUUUAGGCCUCAAUUUUUUUUUAACCGAGACAUAUACGUUUGCGAUAAUUAUAAAAAUGUCAUUGUGCUAUUUUAUGUUUCAGUUACAACGAAACAGAUGUUAAAUGGGGGACUUAAAAUCCUUAUUUUUUACUAGUGCAUGUUCCCUUACAUAUCUUCCUCCUUGGAGCCACUCCCAAACUUCCCUUGUGCUAGUGAAACUAAACACAUUAAUUACCACGAUUUGGUUCGAAUGGACUUUUGUCAUCAAGCCGUCACCAUUUACCGAGUUAGUCCGUCAACCCAAAAAUAGCCUUAUUUGAAAUGGUUGGAAGGGUGAGUACUGCCAAUAAAACCACUGACAACAAAUCGACAACUUCGAUUUGCUCGAGUUAUCCCAGCAUAAGCUUUCUCAUUUGAGUAUACCAAUGUUCGGUGUUGUUGUUCGAAUUUGGAACAAUGAGAUUAACACACUAGAGUUCCUUGUGGGCUCUGCACCCCUACCCUUUUCGAUGUUACAGUAAUAAAAAAUCUUAAAUCUAUGGUUGAAACUUACAACAUUAUAACCUUCCCCCAUGAUACUGCCAUCAAAGCCAAAAUUCGAAUGGAUAAGAAGGCAUAUGGACACUUUGUUUAGCUCGUUACAAUAAUUCUAGUUAGUGUGAUGGAUGUGUUGUAGUACAAAACAAGAGUCAUGUCUACAAGAAUUUGUUUAAGUUAAUUCAUUAUUUGAAUUAGACUCAAAUUUAAAUAAAACAACAAUGUUUAAAAUAAUGAUUUCAACCAAGUAAAACUUAAAAAUGGUUUGACAAGUAUAAAUAUAGAAAUGUGUUAAGAUUGGAUUUCAUUACUUUCGCUUCACUACACUGCUAUUGAUCUCAUAUAUUUCAAUGCAUAUCAUUUAUUUCUAUGAAAGUAUUAAGGUAAUUCUAAAUCAAUUCCUUGGCUUUAGAACAUAAAGAUUUCAACUCAAAGUGAUUCCCAUUCUUGAUUGAAUGAAUCUUUGUCUUAAGUGUGAGAUUUUAACUUAAUUAGAACCUUAGAUCUAUUUCUAACAUAUAAAAGAGAAGAUGAUUUGAUUUGACAAUAAUUUAAGACUAAUUUAAGAAAAAUGCGAUUUAUCUACCGAUAUUUACAUACAGAUUUUGAUCCAUAGGUAAUAUAGAUAUUACAUACGAAUUUUAUAUACAGAUUUUUAGAAAUGAGUUACAUACAAAUUUUAUGUACAAAUUUUUACCUACCAAUUUUUUCGUAUGUAAAAUCUGUAAGUAAAUGAAACAAAAUUUACCUACAAAUUUUAAAUACAAGCUUCAAAUAAUUUAUUAUUAAAAAUUAAAAUUAAAAUUUAGUUCUACCAUUUCCUCUAGAUUUUUCCCUCUAGUUCCUUUUCUAUAAGAAGAUGAAAACCUUAAUGUUGUGCCUCAUUCACACCAUCUCUACCGCUCGUGGGGCUCCAUAUCUUGUUUGACGCGUCCCUUUGUAAUCACUCUCCUUCUUGAAGUUGUUCAUGGAGGAGAUAUGGACUGGUGUUCUCCUAUCAUAGAAGAUCUCACUAGUAAAAAAUAUGGAUAUUAACUCGCAUAUUUGGCAUCGAUUUCGUUGCAACCGAAGCAUAAAAUACCUUGGUGGAAUUUUUGCAAUUAUCACAAACAUAUAUGCCUCGGUUCAAAAAGAACCAAAGCCUAAAGGGGCCUAUGGCUUAUGUUCUAUAUAAAUAACCAAGGUUAAAUCCCACUGCAAAUUUGACUUUUCAGUUAACUCAUUUUUUAACUAGGUCAACAACCUCGGUUGUUUAGAGAACCAAGACCAUAGAGUCCCUAUACUUCAGUUAUGCCGCGAACUGAAGUGCAUGUUAGUGUUUAUAGAGAUAAAUCUACAAAAACAUUUUCAAAAGGAAACUACAUCAUUUAUGUAUUUUAACCAAGCUUUAAGUCAAAGAUGAUAUUUAUUACAACAUGUUGACUAAAAUAGCAAAUAGACAAUGUUCAACCUACAAUAAAAAUCACUAACAGAUGGAGAUGGCAAUCGCGAUAGUGGCAGUAGUGGCAACUGUAGCAUGUGAGAUGAUGGCAAUGGGGGGUAGUGCGAGAUGCGACGAUGGCAGCAACAACGCGAGAUGCGACCGCGGUAGCUCUAGAUCGAGAGGUGACAGAGCCGGAUUGAGAGGUGACGGUGCAAGAUUGAGAGGUGACGGACGACUCUCGAUCGAGAGUUAACGGCUCCAAAUCAAGAGGCAAUGCAGAGGCAGCCUAUAAGAGGCAAGGCGGCGACCUAUUGGAGACAAGAUGACAGCCUACGAGAAGUGAUUUGAGAGAGAUGAUACGACAAAAGAAGAAAUCUCUAGAGAUAAAAGAAAAUGAAAAGAGAAGAAAAAAAUAAAAGAGAAGGGUUCUCUUUUGAAUAAAAAAGAAUAGAAGAAGAAAGAUAAUCACGAAAAAGUUUUCAUUUUAGCUAAACCUAAAUUUAAGUCUGAUAGCAAAUU
rnacentral:lncRNA from 1 species